rnacentral:rRNA from 1 species
CCUACGGGUGGCAGCAGUGAGGAAUAUUGGUCAAUGGACGUAAGUCUGAACCAGCCAAGUCGCGUGCAGGAAGACGGCUCUAUGAGUUGUAAACUGCUUUUGUACGAGGGUAAACGCAGAUACGCGUAUCUGUCUGAAAGUAUCGUACGAAUAAGGAUCGGCUAACUCCGUGCCAGCAGCCGCGGUAAUACGGAGGAUUCAAGCGUUAUCCGGAUUUAUUGGGUUUAAAGGGUGCGUAGGCGGUCGUAUAAGUUAGAGGUGAAAUCCCGAGGCUCAACUUCGGAAUUGCCUCUGAUACUGUGCGGCUAGAGAGUAGUUGCGGUAGGCGGAAUGUAUGGUGUAGCGGUGAAAUGCUUAGAGAUCAUACAGAACACCGAUUGCGAAGGCAGCUUACCAAGCCAUUUCUGACGUUGAGGCACGAAAGCGUGGGGAGCAAACAGGAUUAGAUACCCGAGUAGUA